rnacentral:rRNA from 1 species
CCUACGGGAGGCAGCAGUAGGGAAUUUUCGGCAAUGGGGGGAACCCUGACCGAGCAACGCCGCGUGAAGGAAGAAGGAAUUCGUUCUGUAAACUUCUGUUAUACAGGAAGAAAGACGGAUGGAGGAAAUGACAUCCGAGUGACGGUACUUUAUGAGAAAGCCACGGCUAAAUACGUGCCAGCAGCCGCGGUAAUACGUAGGUGGAAAGCGUUAUCCGGAUUUAUUGGGUUUAAAGGGUGCGGAGGCGGAGCGUUAAGUGAGUGGGCAAAUGGAGGGGCGCAACCCCCUGCCGCCCUUGACACUGGCGCUCUUGAGUGGAAGAGAAGUAUGCGGAAUGCGUGGUGUAGCGGUGAAAUGCAUAGAUAUCACGCAGAACCCCGAUUGCGAAGGCAGCAUGCCGGCUUCCGACUGACGCUGAAGCACGAAAGCGUGGGGAUCGAACAGGAUUAGAUACCCUAGUAGUC